rnacentral:rRNA from 1 species
AACGAACGCUGGCGGCAUGCCUAACACAUGCAAGUCGAACGAGACCUUCGGGUCUAGUGGCGCACGGGUGCGUAACGCGUGGGAACCUGCCCUUAGGUUCGGAAUAACUCCCCGAAAGGGGUGCUAAUACCGGAUAAUGUCUUCGGACCAAAGAUUUAUCGCCUUUGGAUGGGCCCGCGUUGGAUUAGCUAGUUGGUAGGGUAAAAGCCUACCAAGGCGACGAUCCAUAGCUGGUCUGAGAGGAUGAUCAGCCACACUGGGACUGGGACACGGCCCAGACUCCUACGGGAGGCAGCAGUGGGGAAUAUUGGACAAUGGGCGAAAGCCUGAUCCAGCAAGGCCGCGUGAGUGAUGAAGGCCUUAGGGUUGUAAAGCUCUUUUACCCGGGAUGAUAAGGACAGUACCGGGAGAAUAAGCUCCGGCAAACUCCGU